rnacentral:rRNA from 1 species
AAGGUAACGCCUGCCCAGUGAGAAACUUUUCUUAAACGGCCGCGUCAUAAUCGUGCAAAGGUAGCGUAAUCAUUUGUCUCCUAAAUAGAGACCCGUAUGAAAGGCCUCAUGAGAAAGAAACUGUCUCUUGAAGAUAUCCAAUGAAACUGAUCUGCCUGUGCAAAAGCAGGUAUAAUGUAACAAGACAAAAAGACCCUGUGAAACUUAAAAAUAGCUAUCAACGACAUGGUAGUAUUUUUUGGUUGGGGCAACCAAAGAGAAACAAAACCUCUUAAACAUGCAAGACCAACAAGUCCAAUUUAAUAAUUGACCCAGUAAUACUGACCAACGGACCAAGCUACUCCAGGGAUAACAGCGCCAAAUUCUUGAAGAGUUCACAUCAACAAGAAUUCUUACGACCUCGAUGUUGGAUCAGGAUACCCAAGCAGUGCAAAAACCGCUAACGGUUCGUUUGUUCAACGAUUAAAAUCCU